UUCAAUGAGAAAACGCUAGUUUUGACACAGUAUCACAGGUUUGAACCUGACACAAUAGGUUCAAAUCUGUGAUACUGUGUCAAAACUGUCGCAUAUCAAUGAAAAAAACGCUA
rnacentral:miRNA from 14 species